rnacentral:SRP_RNA from 1 species
GCUGGGCGUGGUGGCACGUGCCUGUAAUCCCAGCUACUUGGGAGGCUGAGGCUGGGGAAUCGCUUGAACCCAGGAGACAGAGGUUGCAGUGAGCUGAGAUCACGCCACUGCAUUCCAGCCUGGGUGACAGAGUGAGACUCCGCCUCAG